GCCGGGGAGUUAGCGGUGCCCUGUACUUGCAAUCCGCUUUAGCAAGGGUCAUAUUCAGUUUCGGAUGCUUUCUUGUGAAGCUGCCUUUUAUAAGUGGCGUUGAAGCUUGGGUCUUAUGCAAUAGAAAUUUACGAAUCGUGUCAGGUCAGGAAUGGAGCAGCACUAAGUAAAACCUUCUAUGUGACGUGAGGUCGCCUGAGCGGAGUUAACUGUAGGAGUA
rnacentral:SRP_RNA from 1 species